GGAGAGAGAGUGCCUGCGGGUGGAGAAAGGUCCAGUCGGGUGGAAAGCACCGAGGGCCCCAGGUGCAAUGAGGAGGAAGAAAGAAGGUCCUAAUAUUUAAACGCCUGAAAAACAAGUGGUUAUUGUUUUUCUUGGGAAAUGGAAGGCCUGGAAAGCGGAACUUGGGUUCAGUGGGCCGGGCAAUAGCAAUAAGGCGGCAGUAAAUUGCAACCAAAGUCAAGAAACUCAAGCUCCUAAUUUCGGGAAAAUAUACACUGGGUUUAAAGGAAUAGCAUAGGACAUGCUGCCUAAUUUUUGACCAGUAUCUCUUAUUUUUGGUAACCUCUGAAGAAAACACCUACUACUUCGUUUUGAAAAUAGACUUUCCUUGUGAAGCUAUUAAAAUGCUCACUCACGGACACUGAAUAAAAUUCCAUUCUAUGGAUGUACCACAGUUUGUCCAUUCACCUAUUUGACGGACAUCUUGGUUGAUUCCAAGUUUGGACAAUUAUAAAUAAAGCUGCUAUAAAUAUCCACGUGCAGGUUUUUGUAUGGACAUAAAUUUUCAUCUCAUUUGGGUAAAUACCAAGGAGCGCAACUGCUGAAUCUUAAGGCUAUAUUAAUAGUGAUACUAAAUAGUGGGCUGAAUUGUGCCCCAGCGAAAGAUAAGGCCACAUCCUAAUCCAGAGAACCUGUGGCUAUUACCUUAUAAGGUGGACCCUAAAUCCAGUGACAAGUGUUCUUAUAAGAGUGAGACGAAGGAAGAUAACAGACAGAAAAGGAGGAGGCAGUGUGACCACAGAGGCAGAGACUGGAGUGAUGCAGCUAUGAGUCAAGAAAUGCCAAGAGCCUCCAGAAGCUGGAAGAGGCAGAAACUGAUUCCUCCUCUACAGCCUCCAGAGGGACUGCAGCCCUGCUGACGCCUUGAUUUCAGAAUUCUGGCCUCCAAAACUACAGGAGAAUAAAUUUUGUUGUUUUAAGCCACCCAGUUUGUAGUAAUUUGUUACAGCAGCCACAGGAAACUAAUACACCAGGUCAGAUUGGCAGGGGAGAUAUUCUUCACGUAACAUGAAGAUUAACCCUGAGCUAGCAGAAG
rnacentral:lncRNA from 1 species